AUUGAACGCUGGCGGCAUGCCUUACACAUGCAAGUCGAACGGCAGCACGGGAGCAAUCCUGGUGGCGAGUGGCGAACGGGUGAGUAAUAUAUCGGAACGUGCCCAGUCGUGGGGGAUAACGCAGCGAAAGCUGUGCUAAUACCGCAUACGAUCUACGUAUGAAAGCGGGGGAUCGCAAGACCUCGCGCGAUUGGAGCGGCCGAUAUCAGAUUAGCUAGUUGGUGAGGUAAAGGCUCACCAAGGCGACGAUCUGUAGCUGGUCUGAGAGGACGACCAGCCACACUGGAACUGAGACACGGUCCAGACUCCUACGGGAGGCAGCAGUGGGGAAUUUUGGACAAUGGGCGCAAGCCUGAUCCAGCAAUGCCGCGUGCAGGAUGAAGGCCUUCGGGUUGUAAACUGCUUUUGUACGGAACGAAACGGUGAGCUCUAAUACAGUUUGCUAAUGACGGUACCGUAAGAAUAAGCACCGGCUAACUACGUGCCAGCCGCCGCAGUAAUAC
rnacentral:rRNA from 1 species